UACGUAGGGUGCGAGCGUUAAUCGGAAUUACUGGGCGUAAAGCGUGCGCAGGCGGCUUUGUAAGCCAGAUGUGAAAUCUCCGGGCUUAACUCGGAAAGGUCAACUGAUACUGUGCGGCUAGAGUGCAGAAGGGGCAACUGGAAUUCUCGGUGUAGCGGUGAAAUGCGUAGAUAUCGAGAGGAACACCUGCGGCGAAGGCGGGUUGCUGGGCUGACACUGACGCUGAUGCGCGAAAGCCAGGGGAGCGAACGGG
rnacentral:rRNA from 1 species